rnacentral:lncRNA from 7 species
ACCCCGCGGCUGGCCUGGCGGAGCAGUGCCCCCACGGUGGCAGUGGCCUCACCGGAGAACUCAAUACCGACAGACCAGUCCUUAAUCGAUCAGACGAGGUUCUCUAUGCAUCUAUUAGGGGAUUGUGAAGCACGAGGAAGUAAUCAUACCACGUUUUUUGGGCGUCAGUGGUACUAACCACGGCAGACAGCGGAUCGUCGGCACCGACCCAACAUCGAUGACGAAUUGCCUCCACCCCGAGCUACCACACGCCCGGUGAGGCAUUUCGCAAGACUCCAUGAGUCACAGCGAAUUACUGCGAUCACUCUUCAAGGUCAAGCGGCAAUAGAAGGCGACAUUGACCACGGCGGCUUGGAUUCCCCCGGAAUAAUGGCGGUGAGGCUACGGGUUCACGGUGAGGGAAGGGAGGACGCAGG